rnacentral:rRNA from 1 species
CAGCCGCCGCGGUAAUACGAAGGGGGCUAGCGUUGUUCGGAUUUACUGGGCGUAAAGGGCGCGUAGGCGGACUGAUAAGUCAGGGGUGAAAUCCCAAGGCUCAACCUUGAAACUGCCUUUGAUACUGUUUGUCUUGAGUUCGAGAGAGGUAAGUGGAACUGCGAGUGUAGAGGUGAAAUUCGUAGAUACUCGCAAGAACACCAGUGGCGAAGGCGGCUUACUGGCUCGAAACUGACGCUGAGGCGCGAAAGCGUGGGGAGCAAACAGGAUUAGAUACCCCUGUAGUCCCUGUCUCUUAUAC